CAACACUGUGCAUCACGGAAGGGCCAGCACCACCCGCGUCCAGGACGACUUUUGGUAGUCUUUGAAGUCUUCUUGUGGCCCAAGUUUCCUUAGUAUUAUUUGGGCUAUAAAAAGAGAUGAGCCCUAUAUUCCCUGUAUUACGCUUGAAGGAAAAUGGCUUUAAAAAUGCUUUCUGUCGUUUGGAAAGUCCUUUUGUUUUGUACCCUUCUCUUGGCUUUUCAGGUGGCUGCUAGGGAACUGCUCCAAACUUCCCCUGUCCCUGAGACACCACCCUCACCCACGAAGAAAUUGGGCAAACGCGAUGACCCGUGGCCCGUGGACCCAUAAUCCAUGAAAUUAAUUAUUUCAUCUCUUUCGGAAUAAGAGGCUCCUCAUCAAGACUAAUGCUUGGGUUUGAGUCUCGCAGUUGUGGGCUGCUAUUUUGCUUUUCUAUAUUUUUCUAGCAAUAAUUGAAAAAAAAAAGUAAAUUAUCUAAAAUGAAAUUGUAGUGGAUCUUGUAUAAAUAACUUCAAUUGAACAAUAUUGUCGUUUGUUGUUUCAA